rnacentral:rRNA from 1 species
UACAGAGGGGGCAAGCGUUGUUCGGAAUUACUGGGCGUAAAGGGUGCGUAGGCGGCCUUCUAAGUCGAACGUGAAAUCCCUGGGCUCAACCCAGGAACUGCGUCCGAUACUGGGAGGCUUGAAUCCGGGAGAGGGAUGCGGAAUUCCAGGUGUAGCGGUGAAAUGCGUAGAUAUCUGGAGGAACACCGGUGGCGAAGGCGGCAUCCUGGACCGGUAUUGACGCUGAGGCGCGAAAGCCAGGGGAGCAAACGGG